rnacentral:rRNA from 1 species
UACAGAGGGUGCAAGCGUUAAUCGGAAUUACUGGGCGUAAAGGGCGCGUAGGUGGUUAUAUAAGUUGGAUGUGAAAGACUUGAGCUUAACUUGAGUUUGUCAUCCAAAACUGUAUGACUAGAGUAUAAUAGAGGGGAGGAGAAUUUCCGGUGUAGCGGUGAAAUGCGUAGAUAUCGGAAGGAACACCAGAGGCGAAGGCGCCUCCCUGGAGUGAUACUGACACUGAGGCGCGAAAGCGUGGGGAGCGAACAGGAUUAGAUACCCCCGUA